rnacentral:rRNA from 1 species
AGAGUUUGAUCCUGGCUCAGGAUGAACGCUAGCGAUAGGCUUAACACAUGCAAGUCGAGGGGCAGCAUGGUCUUAGCUUGCUAAGACUGAUGGCGACCGGCGCACGGGUGCGUAACGCGUAUGCAACUUGCCUCACAGAGGGGGAUAACCCGUCGAAAGACGGACUAAUACCGCGUACACUUACAGGAGGGCAUCCUCCAGUAAGGAAAUGAAAUUCGCUGUGAGAUAGGCAUGCGUCCCAUUAGCUAGUUGGUGAGGUAACGGCUCACCAAGGCGACGAUGGGUAGGGGAACUGAGAGGUUGAACCCCCACACUGGUACUGAGACACGGACCAGACUCCUACGGGAGGCAGCAGUGAGGAAUAUUGGUCAAUGGGCGAGAGCCUGAACCAGCCAAGUCGCGUGAAGGAUGACGGCCCUAUGGGUUGUAAACUUCUUUUGCAGGGGAAUAAAGAUAUUCACGUGUGGGUAGUUGUAUGUACCCUGCGAAUAAGCAUCGGCUAACUCCGUGCCAGCAGCCGCGGUAAUACGGAGGAUGCGAGCGUUAUCCGGAUUUAUUGGGUUUAAAGGGUGCGUAGGCGGCCUGUUAAGUCAGCGGUGAAAUCUAGGAGCUUAACUCCUAAAUUGCCAUUGAUACUGGCGGGCUUGAGUGUAGAUGAGGUAGGCGGAAUGCGUGGUGUAGCGGUGGAAUGCAUAGAUAUCACGCAGAACUCCGAUUGCGAAGGCAGCUUACUAAGGUACAACUGACGCUGAAGCACGAAAGCGUGGGUAUCAAACAGGAUUAGAUACCCUGGUAGUCCACGCAGUAAACGAUGAUUACUAGGAGUUUGCGAUAUAGUGUAAGCUCUACAGCGAAAGCGUUAAGUAAUCCACCUGGGGAGUACGCCGGCAACGGUGAAACUCAAAGGAAUUGACGGGGGCCCG